UACGUAGGGUGCGAGUGUUAAUCGGAAUUACUGGGCGUAAAGUGUGCGCAGGCGGCCGAGCAAGUCGAGUGUGAAAGCCCCGGGCUUAACUUGGGAAUUGCGCUCGAAACUACUUGGCUGGAGUGUGGCAGAGGAAGGUGGAAUUCCAGGUGUAGCGGUGAAAUGCGUAGAGAUCUGGAGGAACACCGAUGGCGAAGGCAGCCUUCUGGGCCAACACUGACGCUCAUGCACGAAAGCGUGGGGAGCAAACAGG
rnacentral:rRNA from 1 species